GCUUACGGCCAUACCAACCUGAAUAUGCCCGAUCUCGUCUGAUCUCGGAAGCUAAGCAGGUUUGGGCCUGGUUAGUACUUGGAUGGGAGACGCCUGGGAAUACCAGGUGCUUUAAGCU
rnacentral:rRNA from 1 species